GCCCAGCAGCCCCCCUCCCACCCCAGGGGCACGCCCCACCUUUACUCAGGCCAGAGAUGGUUGAAAAGCAGCAAGACCUCGGGAGGGCACAAGAGGGCUGAGGAGGCAAGAAACUUCACUAGGACGCCCCCGCAGCAGGGAUUGGGGGGGCCAGCUGCCAGCCCUCUUGGCUGGUCCUGGCCUCCCUUCCUCCCACAGUUCCGUCUCUGCUGUUGUCUCCAACAGGCAGGGUCUGAU
rnacentral:lncRNA from 1 species